CUCGCUAGGGUAAAUUGCAAUUCAUUUUAUGAAAGUGUUGAAAUGUUUUCCUUUAGAUCUCGGAAUCAUAACCCUCUGAUUGUUGACAGAUUGAGUGAAUAAAGCUGUGAUUAAGACACUGGACAGUAAUAUUCUGGUUCUAUCCGCUGUUGUCUGACCACGGUAUAAACGAAAAAUUUGGCUCCUUAAAAUCUAACGAUUUGGAUUAGCAUGACAUUUGCAUGACACAUUGAUUCUCGAGCAUAUUGGAACAAUAAUAGGAACAAGAUUGGCAGUAAACUUACCUGAAGCUUUGGGAACAAGUUUAUUCCAAUGGAGGCCAGAAAACCAACGAAACAAAAAGAUGGAACCACAAAAUUAUCGGACAAAGUUUCACCUGAAAUGUUUCUAAAGUUGAUUAUUGUUGGUUGCUUUUGUCCGUGAAAUCGCCAAACAAUGCAAACUUAAUUUCGUUCAGAAAUUUGCAAAGUCAAACUCAAUUGGAUCAAGAAGUUAUCAAAUUAUCAGAUGGACAGUACUCUUGGACAUAACAUUAGUAAAUUUUAAAACAAAAUUAUAAUCAAAUAAGCAGAUGGUAUUGUAAAGAGAUGUUAGACUUGAAUGGGAAAUUUGGCUUCUAACAACAGUUUGUUCAAGUUACAAAGUCAAGUUUAGCUGUUGAGUGAUUCUGAAUAAUGAACAAAAUUUAAGAAUUUUGAACAACCCUAUAUACCGAGUAUACGUAUUUAUAUAAAUUUAUGAGUAUAUUUUAUAAAUAUAUAGUUAGUUAGCAAUAAGAUGACAGUCGCUUUUCAUUCAACCUUUUUUUCAGUUUCAAGUGAGGGUUAGGAGCAUGUCAAGAUGCUGAAGAGAUUAUGAUUUCUUUGUAAAAAUAAUGAAAAUAUUUCAUCAAAAAAUAGUUGAACUUUCUUCUCAAGCAUUUCCCUGAUUCCCUUUCUGUCAUCUCUCACCAAAUUUUAAACCUUUUCAAAUUGUCGGCCCACUCGUUGAGAAUCCACUGGUUUAAUAAGAUGCAUAUAUUCAUAGGGAAACUAAUGUCACCCAUUCCAUUCUCAUGAGUUUUGUAUCUUCUCAGGAUGUUCAGUUGAUGGUCAUCAUUAUCAUCAUAACUUUGUAAAUGUUGAUCAGCUCGAUGAUUCCGCCUACAACAUUGACACAUUAUUACAAUAAGAAAAGCAGUUAUCACUCUUUCACUCUACAAACUGAUUGUUAUUUAACAGAACUUGUUAACUUUGGAAAAAUGUUUCAUUUGUUAUUAUUGAUACAUUAAGUUUCUUUUUCUCAUGUUUAUCAUAAUGAUAAUUUUUGAUUCUUAUACUUGGUCAACUGUUGACUAUGAACUGCGAUCAAUGAACUUUAUUCAACAUUCAAUGUGUCCAGCAUUAUGCUUUCAUUGAAUUCAUUUUUUGUAAUAAAUUUAAUACAUUUUUU